AUUGCUGUAUAAAAGUUACCUUGUAGUAUGAAUUUAAGCUGUUACGUUAGUUGGAUGGAAUUCUAGAGAAAGAAUGGUUACUGGGACACGAAAGGAAGAUAAGUUUUAUAUAUUUUUGUUAUUGUCGUGCAUAACAAAGCUUGAUUUAGAACAAUAUUCAGCUUAUAAUAAACAUUCAUUCAAAUUCUCCAGCUCUGUGCACAUGUGUAUUUGUUAAUAGUUGGACAAUUAUCAUGUCACAAAAGCUUAAUUUAAGGUAAUUUAAGAUAACUGAAAGUACGGACAAUGAUGAUAAUAUUGAUAAAAUCGGUAUCAAAAUGUUCAGUUUUGUCAGUGUGAUGUGGGGUGGUGACAGGUAUUGUAGAUAAUUAUGACGAUAUGCAAUGAUAUGUAUCUAGUAUGAUAAUGUUAUUAUGGUGUUGAUGAUGCUGAUGAUGAUGACGGUAUGGUGGAUAUUAUGAUAUUAUGACGAUAUGACAAUAAUGUUGUUCAUAAUGAUGAUGUUUAUGCUAUUAUGAUAAUAUGGUGAUAUUCAGUUUGUGUUUAAAUGAUCAUAACGAUAUGAUGAUGAUGAUGGUAAGAUGAUGAUUUGGUGACAAUAUGGCGUUGAUAGCGAUUAAAUUACGAUCAUAAAUAUGAAAUAGUUAUGAUUAAUGAUGAUGAUAAUGAUAUAACAUGACGAUGAUAUGACGAUACAAUAAUGCUGAGAGGAAAAUGAUUACCAUGAUGGUACGUUAUAAGAAUAACAUAAUAUGAUAUUACACGAUAAUAUGUUUUGAUUACGAUGAUGAUAUGGUAUAACGAAUCAUUUAUGAUCUUUGUGAUGGCAUGAUAAUGAUGGCAAUAAUGAUUGUGAUAUUACGAAAUGAUAAUGAUAUGAAAUCAUGUUGGUACAUUAUAGUACUUUAAGGACGAUGGUGAUGUCGUUGAUGGUAAAGAUGACAAUGGUGAUAAUAUUCUGACGAUGAUAAGACAAUAAUGGCGUUUUAAUAUAUUGUAAUAAUUAAGUAUUUCAGUUUGCUAGCAAUACUCCAACAUUAGGGGGAAACAUCAGGUAAAAUGAAUCAAAGGUAAAAGUACAAGAGAACAUGUCGUCUAGUUUCAGCUACAAAUAUAAAGGUAACGGUUAUGGUAAAACAGAAUACAGAUUGAACGUCAUUAUAAAUGGUAAAAAAGUAUCUUGUUUACGUCUUAAAUUAGCGAAGGUGAGUUAUUUCUUUUAUUUACCCUAAUGUAAUGCAGCGUUCUGUGUUUUGAUUGGACGAAUUUUAUUUCAUAAAAUAUUUAGUGGCCCUCAAUACACAUGUGUCCGUAUGUGCAUUUCGGUAUGGCAUAUAGCAAUUUAUGAACUGAGGUGAAUAUUGAGCAAUUCGCCUCACUUUCUCAUAGGCUGUGAAUGGAGAAAUCUCUGCCAUUUGCCAAUUUCUUCAUGGUCAGUCUAUAAAAUAGGCUUCUGCCACUUUGCGUUGCCUGUAAGUUGCUAUGCCAUUUAGCUAGUGAUUGUUCUUGUGUUCAUAUUCAUUUCUUAAAAUUUAAACAUGCUAUAUGCCAUGAUAUCAAUGAAAUAAAGUCGCGGCCAUUUCCCAUCUACUUUGUGUUUGUUGUUUGUGCAUGCUAAUAAGAAUAGUUAAGAAUAUUUGUACUGACGUCGUAAAACGACAUAGACAUAGCGAACCUCAUGAAAUAUCUGUAUGUUCUACCUUGAUCUCAACCGAUCUUAAGCUGGCCCUUGCAUCAUGAAUUAGACAGCCACCUGCCUUUGGCAACUCAUGGGUUCAUUCCUUUGUGGGUUGCUUAACACAGGUCUGGCUGUAUACUUUGUAACAGAGAGGUCGUGAUGUUGCACUUGGGCGGAUCCGCAUACGUGUAAGUUCAAAGAACAUCUCAAGCGACAAAAAUCAGACAAGAAAAAAUAUUCACAAAUAAGUUUUGUGUAAGCGUUAAAGUUCUGACCAGGUUAAGGUUACCUGAAAGUAUUUGGCAUACGCUGAAUAUUACGUAUACUUGUAAAAAUUUAAUUCACAUUUUGUAUGCACAUGUGCAUGAUAUCGCUAUCUCUCUGUUGCUGGUCUUGCUGCCUUCUAUUCAUAAUCGGUUCUACCUGCGCCAAUAAAAUAAAUGCAUUUAUGUUCUCUUGUAGAAAUAAAUGGUGUUAUUUUUUGGUGAUAUAUAUUCACUUGUUGUCAUGUUGAAGGAGAUUACUUGUCGGCUAUUGUUCAUCGUUAUUUGCAUUCCGUUAUACGGUUUGUUUCGUUUAUCUAUUAUCUACACACUUGGCGGCAAAAAAUACGAGAAGUCCGUGCAUGUAUUUGCCACGCCCUUGAACCAGUUUGCUAGCUGAAAUCGUCCGAACAACAUCGUUAGAAAAAUUCCCUCCCACCCUUCCCUUUAAGAAUGAUAUAUGUAUAGUAUCAAUUUGACGUAUUUCUGCUGUCAAGUUUGUUUUUCAGAUCCAGACUGAUACAUUUACGGAGUCUCAGGCAUGUCAACGUGAUAUUCGCAAGGGUCUGGGCGUGUUCAGAAGGCUGCCUCUUGCACUCACCUAUUCAUGUUACUAUAAACUGUCGCAGUGAUUAUCUAUUUUAGUUAAAUGAAAUAGUGAAACGAACGUUUUAAUGUUUCGUGGUAACUUCUGAAAGAGGUGAACAUUUUAAGUUUCGAGGUUUAAAGUGAAAAUGAUAUUCAAUUGCUGUAACAACUUUAUGAUAUUUUGUGUUUUCUUUAUUCUAUUUCUUUUAUUACUUGUAUUUAAUUUUAUGCAUAUAUAAUAACAA